rnacentral:rRNA from 1 species
GACGAACGCUGGCGGCGUGCCUAAUACAUGCAAGUCGAGCGAAGUUUUUCUGGUGCUUGCACUAGAAAAACUUAGCGGCGAACGGGUGAGUAACACGUAAAGAACCUGCCUCAUAGACGGGGACAACUAUUGGAAACGAUAGCUAAUACCGGAUAACAGCAUAAAUCGCAUGAUAUAUGUUUGAAAGUUGGUUUCGGCUAACACUAUGAGAUGGCUUUGCGGUGCAUUAGCUAGUUGGUGGGGUAAAGGCCUACCAAGGCGACGAUGCAUAGCCGACCUGAGAGGGUGAUCGGCCACACUGGGACUGAGACACGGCCCAGACUCCUACGGGAGGCAGCAGUAGGGAAUCUUCCGCAAUGGGCGAAAGCCUGACGGAGCAACGCCGCGUGAGUGAAGAAGGAUUUCGGCUCGUAAAGCUCUGUUGUUAGGGAAGAAUGAUUGUAUAGUAACUAUAUACAGUAGAGACGGUACCUAACCAGAAAGCCACGGCUAACUACGUGCCAGCAGCCGCGGUAAUACGUAGGUGGCAAGCGUUGUCCGGAAUUAUUGGGCGUAAAGCGCGCGCAGGUGGUUUAAUAAGUCUGAUGUGAAAGCCCACGGCGCAGCCGUGUAGGGUCAUUGUAAACUGUUAACUUGAGUGCAGGAUGGGAAAGUGUUAUUCCCAUUGUAUCGGUGAAUGUGUUUAGAUUUGGAUGAACAUGCUGUGCUAAUGCUGUUUUUGGCUGUGACUGACAGUGUGUGUGCUGAAUGUGGUGGUGAUAAAGAGAUUGAUACCCUGGUGGUCUGAGGGGGAAUGUCUGGCUGUGUGAGAUUGGUUGGUUGUGUCCGUGACGUGGGGGUGAAAAAAAAUAAGAUAUUUUUUUUUUUUUAGUUUGCUUGUUGAUGGGAUGUGGUAUG